rnacentral:lncRNA from 1 species
AAGAUUCUCAUUGAGUCCUCAAAGGCUCAUAUAGGUGUUGUAUGUUUGUAGGUAUACCCGAUUUAGGGCCCGAGGAGUGAAGUUGGGAAUCGAGCUCGAGAAUCGGAAGGAGAUCGUAUGGAGGGGUUGUGGAUGGUGUUGGCUCUUAACUUAGUCAUGUGGUUUUAUUUGUAUAAUAUGCUUGUAAAAACUUUUGAUACGGUUUUAGGUAUUUUCUACCGUUCGCUUCCUCCGAUCGGUGGAAUUAUUAAAAGACGAUAUGUG